rnacentral:rRNA from 1 species
GACGACCUCUGGCGGCGUGCUUAACACAUGCAAGUCGAACGGAAAGGCCCUGCUUUUGUGGGGUGCUCGAGUGGCGAACGGGUGAGUAACACGUGAGUAACCUGCCCUUGACUUUGGGAUAACUUCAGGAAACUGGGGCUAAUACCGGAUAGGAGCUCCUGCUGCAUGGUGGGGGUUGGAAAGUUUCGGCGGUUGGGGAUGGACUCGCGGCUUAUCAGCUUGUUGGUGGGGUAGUGGCUUACCAAGGCUUUGACGGGUAGCCGGCCUGAGAGGGUGACCGGCCACAUUGGGACUGAGAUACGGCCCAGACUCCUACGGGAGGCAGCAGUGGGGAAUAUUGCACAAUGGGCGGAAGCCUGAUGCAGCGACGCCGCGUGCGGGAUGACGGCCUUCGGGUUGUAAACCGCUUUCGCUUGUGACGAAGCGUGAGUGACGGUAAUGGGUAAAGAAGCACCGGCUAACUACGUGCCAGCAGCCGCGGUGAUACGUAGGGUGCGAGCGUUGUCCGGAUUUAUUGGGCGUAAAGGGCUCGUAGGUGGUUGAUCGCGUCGGAAGUGUAAUCUUGGGGCUUAACCCUGAGCGUGCUUUCGAUACGGGUUGACUUGAGGAAGGUAGGGGAGAAUGGAAUUCCUGGUGGAGCGGUGGAAUGCGCAGAUAUCAGGAGGAACACCAGUGGCGAAGGCGGUUCUCUGGGCCUUUCCUGACGCUGAGGAGCGAAAGCGUGGGGAGCGAACAGGCUUAGAUACCCUGGUAGUCCACGCUGUAAACGGUGGGUACUAGGUGUGGGGUCCAUUCCACGGGUUCCGUGCCGUAGCUAACGCUUUAAGUACCCCGCCUGGGGAGUACGGCCGCAAGGCUAAAACUCAAAGGAAUUGACGGGGCCCCGCACAAGCGGCGGAGCAUGCGGAUUAAUUCGAUGCAACGCGUAGAACCUUACCUGGGUUUGACAUGGAUCGGGAGUGCUCAGAGAUGGGUGUGCCUCUUUUGGGGUCGGUUCACAGGUGGUGCAUGCCUGUCGUCAGCUCGUGUCGUGAGAUGUUGGGUUAAGUCCCGCAACGAGCGCAACCCUUGUUCACUGUUGCCAGCACGUUAUGGUGGGGACUCAGUGGAGACCGCCGGGGUCAACUCGGAGGAAGGUGGGGAUGACGUCAAGUCCUCAUGCCCCUUAUGUCCAGGGCUUCACGCAUGCUACAAUGGCUGGUACAGAGAGUGGCGAGCCUGUGAGGGUGAGCGAAUCUCGGAAAGCCGGUCUCAGUUCGGAUUGGGGUCUGCAACUCGACCUCAUGAAGUCGGAGUCGCUAGUAAUCGCAGAAAGGCAACGCUGCGGUGAAUACGUUCCCGGGGCU